rnacentral:misc_RNA from 1 species
UUGGCCUUCAGACAGUCAUUGAGAUCAGCUAGUGUUAUUGCAUUGGCAUCCAAAAGUUCCUUGCCCUUUGUUUCACAUGCCCUCAUCAUGGUUCCCCAGAUCUGUUGCAUUUUGAGAAAUAUUACCCACUAUUUCUAGCAAGCUAGGAACAAACCUUGCAGAACCUUCUGCAGUAGUAGAACCAGAUUUUCCAUUAUUUCCACCAAC